AUUGAACGCUGGCGGCAUGCCUUACACAUGCAAGUCGAACGGUAACAGGUCUUCGGAUGCUGACGAGUGGCGAACGGGUGAGUAAUACAUCGGAACGUGCCCGAUCGUGGGGGAUAACGGAGCGAAAGCUUUGCUAAUACCGCAUACGAUCUACGGCUGAAAGCAGGGGACCGCAAGGCCUUGCGCGGACGGAGCGGCCGAUGGCAGCUUGGGUAGUUGGUGGGAUAAAAGCUUACCAAGCCGACGAUCUGUAGCUGGUCUGAGAGGACGACCAGCCAACCUGGGCCUGAGACACGGCCCGGACUCACACGGGAGGGAGCGGUGGGGAAUGUAGGACAAUGGGCGGAAGCCUGGUCCAGCCAUGCCGCGUGCGGGAGGAAGGCCUUCGGGUCGUAAACUGCUUUUGUACGGAACGAAAAGGCCUUGGCGAAUAACCAGGGUCCAUGACGGUACCGUAAGAAUAAGCACCGGCUAACUACGUGCCAGCCGCCGCCGUAA
rnacentral:rRNA from 1 species